UGCGGAGGAUCCAAGCGUUAUCCGGAUUUAUUGGGUUUAAAGGGUGCGUAGGCGGAUUGAUAAGUUAGAGGUGAAAUGUCCGAGCUCAACUCGGGAACUGCCUCUAAUACUGUUGAUCUAGAGAGUAGAUGCGGUAGGCGGAAUGUAUGGUGUAGCGGUGAAAUGCUUAGAGAUCAUACAGAACACCGAUUGCGAAGGCAGCUUACCAAUCUAUAUCUGACGUUGAGGCACGAAAGCGUGGGGAGCAAACAGG
rnacentral:rRNA from 1 species